rnacentral:rRNA from 1 species
UAAACCUCUUUCAGUAGGGAAGAAGCGAAAGUGACGGUACCUGCAGAAGAAGCGCCGGCUAACUACGUGCCAGCAGCCGCGGUAAUACGUAGGGCGCAAGCGUUAUCCGGAUUUAUUGGGCGUAAAGAGCUCGUAGGCGGUUUGUCGCGUCUGCCGUGAAAGUCCGAGGCUCAACCUCGGAUCUGCGGUGGGUACGGGCAGACUAGAGUGAUGUAGGGGAGACUGGAAUUCCUGGUGUAGCGGUGAAAUGCGCAGAUAUCAGGAGGAACACCGAUGGCGAAGGCAGGUCUCUGGGCAUUUACUGACGCUGAGGAGCGAAAGCAUGGGGAGCGAACAGGAUUAGAUACCCUGGUAGUCCAUGCCGUAAACGUUGGGCACUAGGUGUGGGGGACAUUCCACGUUUUCCGCGCCGUAGCUAACGCAUUAAGUGCCCCGCCUGGGGAGUACGGCCGCAAGGCUAAAACUCAAAGGAAUUGACGGGGGCCCGCACAAGCGGCGGAGCAUGCGGAUUAAUUCGAUGCAACGCGAAGAACCUUACCAAGGCUUGACAUGUGCCAGACCGCUUCAGAGAUGGAGUUUCCCUUCGGGGCUGGUUCACAGGUGGUGCAUGGUUGUCGUCAGCUCGUGUCGUGAGAUGUUGGGUUAAGUUCCGCAACGAGCGCAACCCUCGUUCCAUGUUGCCAGCACGUAGUGGUGGGGACUCAUGGGAGACUGCCGGGGUCAACUCGGAGGAAGGUGGGGAUGACGUCAAAUCAUCAUGCCCCUUAUGUCUUGGGCUUCACGCAUGCUACAAUGGCCGGUACAAUGGGUUGCGAUACUGUGAGGUGGAGCUAAUCCCUAAAAGCCGGUCUCAGUUCGGAUUGGGGUCUGCAACUCGACCCCAUGAAGUCGGAGUCGCUAGUAAUCGCAGAUCAGC